rnacentral:rRNA from 1 species
UGGGGAAUUUUGGACAAUGGGGGCAACCCUGAUCCAGCCAUCCCGCGUGUGCGAUGAAGGCCUUCGGGUUGUAAAGCACUUUUGGCAGGGAAGAAACAGCAUGGGAUAAUACCCCGGGCGACUGACGGUACCUGCAGAAUAAGCACCGGCUAACUACGUGCCAGCAGCCGCGGUAAUACGUAGGGUGCAAGCGUUAAUCGGAAUUACUGGGCGUAAAGCGUGCGCAGGCGGUUCGGAAAGAAAGGUGUGAAAUCCCAGGGCUUAACCUUGGAACUGCACUUUUAACUACCGAGCUAGAGUACGUCAGAGGGGGGUAGAAUUCCACGUGUAGCAGUGAAAUGCGUAGAGAUGUGGAGGAAUACCGAUGGCGAAGGCAGCCCCCUGGGAUGAUACUGACGCUCAUGCACGAAAGCGUGGGGAGCAAACAGGAUUAGAUACCCUGGUAGUCCACGCCCUAAACGAUGUCAACUAGCUGUUGGGGUUUAUUAACCUUAGUAGCGCAGCUAACGCGUGAAGUUGGCCGCCUGGGGAGUACGGUCGCAAGAUU